rnacentral:miRNA from 1 species
GGACUAGCGUCUGACUAAGGCCAGAAGCUGGGAAAUCUUCAUUCUGAAAGCCGAGUGGAGACAGCUGGUGGUAUCUGAG